UGCCUUUCGUUUAGUUUAUGUAAGGUUUAUCCUGCCCAGUGAACUACGGUUUUAACGGCCGCGGUAUUCUGACCGUGCAAAGGUAGCAUAAUCAUUUGCCUCUUAAUUGGAGGCUGGUAUGAAUGGAUUCACGAGGGACUUAUUGUCUCAUUUGCAAGCAUAGAAAUUAAUAUACAGGUGAAGAAGCCUGUAUACAUCUAAAAGACAAGAAGACCCUAUCGAGUUUUAUUAAUAUUUUCACGUUCUAGAAACUUUUAGUAUUCUAGAAUAAGAGGUAAUAAUUUGAUUGGGGCGAUUAGAGAAUUAGACAAGCUUCUCUUUUUUUAAGAACCUGCUUCGUAUAAAUGAUCCAUAGGUAUGAUUAAGAGAAUUACACUACCGUAGGGAUAACAGGCUAAUUUCUUUAGAGAGUUCAUAUUGACAGGGAAGAUUGGCACCUCGAUGUUGGCUUAGAUUAUCCUUUGUAUGCAGCAGUAUAAAAGGGUUGGUUUGUUCAACCAUUAAAAUUCU
rnacentral:rRNA from 1 species